UAGAGCGCCUCGGUGAGCUCGGGCCCCACGAAUCCCCUGCGGCCGGUCAUUGCGUUGAUGGCCGGAACCAACGCGAGGGUUUUGGUUUAGAGUUAGGGUUUCUCCUGACGGGCACAGGGCCGCGGUUGAUGAGGAAACAUCUCUUACAGGUUGGAAACGAUACGGUGGUAGGGCUUUUUCUUGGAAAUGACGUGAGAUUUUCUCGGUAAAAUGCGAGAAACUGGUACGAAAGCAUGGAGUGAGGCUGUCUCUCAAAUCUCUUUUAUAGGUCAUUCGUUUUCCAGUUUUCUUGAGCGUUUCUUGGACGUUGUGCUGAAUAGAGCCUACUACCGAUCGUCCCCACGAGUGCGAGGCUGUCUCUCAAAUCUCUUUUAUAGGUCAUUCGUUUUCCAGUUUUCUUGAGCGUUUCUUGGACGUUGUGCUGAAUAGAGCCUACUACCGAUCCUCCCCACGAGUGCUAAGCUAAC
rnacentral:lncRNA from 1 species